rnacentral:rRNA from 1 species
UACAGAGGUCCCAAGCGUUGUUCGGAUUCAUUGGGCGUAAAGGGUGCGUAGGCGGCGCGGUAAGUCGGGUGUGAAAUCUCGGGGCUUAACUCCGAAACUGCAUUCGAUACUGCCGUGCUUGAGGACUGGAGAGGAGACUGGAAUUUACGGUGUAGCGGUGAAAUGCGUAGAUAUCGAUAAGGAAGACCAGUGGCGAAGGCGGGUCUCUGGACAGUUCCUGACGCUGAGGCACGAAGGCCAGGGGAGCAAAACGGG